rnacentral:tRNA from 1 species
GGCUGUAGUUUAAGAAAAAUAACAAGUUGCAAACUUGACGACAGGAAAGCCUCCUCAGCCAC